AGAGGUCCCGCCUGCCCUGUGACUAUAAGUUUAACGGCCGCGGUAUUUUGACCGUGCAAAGGUAGCGCAAUCACUUGUCUUUUAAAUGAAGACCUGUAUGAAUGGCACAACGAGGGCUUGACUGUCUCCUUUUUCAAGUCAAUGAAAUUGAUCUCCCCGUGCAGAAGCGGGGAUAAAACCAUAAGACGAGAAGACCCUAUGGAGCUUUAGACGCCUGAGUAAGUCACGUUAAACACCCCCGGACACGGGGCUAAACCAAAUGAAAAUUACUCCAUGUCUUUGGUUGGGGCGACCGCGGGGAACCAAAAAACCCCCACGUGGACUGGAAUUAUGCAAUUCCACAACUAAGAGCCCCCGCUCUAGUUAACAGUAUUACUGACCAAUUAAGAUCCGGCAGAGCCGAUCAACGAACCGAGUUACCCUAGGGAUAACAGCGCAAUCCCCUUUUAGAGCCCAUAUCGACAAGGGGGUUUACGACCUCGAUGUUGGAUCAGGACAUCCUAAUGGUGCAGCCGCUAUUAAGGGUUCGUUUGUUCAACGAUUAAAGUCCUACGUGAUCUGAGUUCAGACCGG
rnacentral:rRNA from 1 species